rnacentral:misc_RNA from 1 species
AACUUUUGACAACGGAUCUCUUGGUUCUGGCAUCGAUGAAGAACGCAGCGAAAUGCGAUACGUAAUGUGAAUUGCAGAAUUCAGUGAAUCAUCGAAUCUUUGAACGCACAUUGCGCCCAUUAGUAUUCUAGUGGGCAUGCCUGUUCGAGCGUCAUUUCAACCCUUAAGCCUAGCUUAGUAUUGGGAGCCUACUGUAUUGUAGCUCCCCAAAUCCAACGGCGGAUCUGUGGUAUCCUCUGAGCGUAGUAAUUUUUAUCUCGCUUUUGUUAGGUGCUGCAGCUCUCAGCCGCUAAACCCCCCAAUUUUUUAAUGGUUGACCUCGGAUCAGGUAGGAAUACCCGCUGAACUUAAGCAUAUCAAUAAGCGGAGGCU